AUACGGAGGGUGCAAGCGUUAAUCGGAAUUACUGGGCGUAAAGCGUACGUAGGCGGUUAUUUAAGUCAGAUGUGAUAGCCCCGGGCUUAACCUGGGAACUGCAUUUAAAACUGGCGAACUAGAGUUGAGUAGAGGGGAGUGGAAUUUCAGGUGUAGCGGUGAAAUGCGUAGAGAUCUGAAGGAACACCAGUGGCGAAGGCGACUCCCUGGACUCGAACUGACGCUGAGGUACGAAAGCGUGGGUAGCAAACGGGAUUAGAAACCCUAGUAGUCC
rnacentral:rRNA from 1 species